UACGUAGGGUGCAAGCGUUGUCCGGAAUUACUGGGCGUAAAGCGCGCGUAGGCGGACCUGCAAGUUGGGGGUGAAAGCCCGAGGCUCAACCUCGGAACUGCCUUCGAUACUGCGGGUCUCGAGUCCGGGAGAAGUGAGUGGAAUUCCUAGUGUAGAGGUGAAAUUCGUAGAUAUUAGGAAGAACACCAGUGGCGAAGGCGGCUCACUGGCCCGGUACUGACGCUGAGGCGCGAAAGCGUGGGGAGCAAACAGG
rnacentral:rRNA from 1 species